rnacentral:lncRNA from 1 species
UUCUUCACUGUGGAAGAUCAAAGGAUGAUGAUUUAGAAUGUGACAUGCUGUAUAAAGGAGGGGUCACACCAGCUUGGCAAAGCCCUCCUCCCUCCCUUAGGACCAAGCACUAAAGCCAAGUGGAUUGCCCUUCUCUACCCCGUACCCCAGUUUCCAAACAUGCUUCUCCCAGAGCAUCUGCCCUCAGGUUAGAAGGAACACUGGGCUCAUAUAUGGUCCUUCUUCAAUCCUAUAUCUGAGCCUGGGUCCAGAGUAAGCCCGUGUAUGUGUUACCUGUGUGCUGCCUGAGUGGCCCUGCCUUACCUAUCUGGUUCCCAUGUGAAUUGCCCAUGGGUGUGACUUAGGGACUGCCAAUGUGUGUUACAUAGGUAUGGCCUACAUGCGUAAUGCUGUGUGUCACCUGUGAGUGCCAUAUGUGUGCUGUUUCCUUGUGUUUGAUGUGCUGCCUGUGUGUGCUGGCUGUGACUGUAUCACCUGUGAGUGCUUCCUGUGCACUGGUGUCUGUUAUCUUUGUAUGUGGUUUGUUACAUUUAUGCUGAUGUAUGUUAAAUCUGUGUUACCUGACCACCACAUGCUCCCCUGUGCUACUUGGUAUGUGUGUGUGUGUGCGUGUGUGAUGUCUAUAUGUGUAUCAUCUGGCUGCAUUUCUUUGGGUGUUUUCCCAUGCAUUAUUCAUGUGUACUGACUAUAUGUCACCUGAAUUUGCUGCCUCUGUGUGUCACCCGUUUGUGUGCAGCCUGCACGUGCACUCACUUGGGUGGGUCACUCGUGUGGUGUGUUAGUGUCAUAGUGUGGGCUUCUCCUGUGUGUUGUGCCAUCACCUGUGUCCACGUUGCCCAUGUUACUGAAUGUAUCACCAUCUUUUGUCACUUGUACAUGUCACUUGCGUGUGUUGGUGCUUGUUUGUGUUGCUGUGUGAGUCUCUUUGUAUCCUCUCCUGUGUGUCACCGGUCCAUGCAUGCUGCGGAGGUGUGAUUCCUGUGCAUGUCCUCUGUGACCUGUGUGUGCCACCCCAUGUUUGCUGUGCUUCUGUGCUCUGUGUUAACAGUUUCAUGUUUCUCCAUGUGAGCUACUGAUCUCAUUUUGUGGGUUAUUUGCCUAUACUGGCUGUAUGGCGGUGUCUGUGUGGUGACGUCUGUCUCAUGAGCCUCACUUGUGUGUUUUGCCAUCACAAUUUGUACCCCGAUGUGAUGUCUGGGUUUCAUCCAGGCGUGGGGCCUCGUGAAUACCCACGUGUUCCUACCACCCUUCCCGCUACUAUGGCGAGAGGGGCAGGCAGAGACGAAGGCUGGCAGGAGACUCCUGGGAACUCCGGGUCCUCAAGCUGUUUCCGACAGGGCCCUCCGGGCCACGGGAAGAGCCGGCCGCUGUCCUCGCCGGGACCAGGACUGCAUCUCCUCACCUGUCCCUGGGCCCCUCCUUCUGCUGGUCAGGACCCUCGGGAGUGAGCCUGAACCACUCGCCCUCCAACCAGGGGACGUCGGAGGCCCGGCUUGGGCGGCUCCCCUACUGCCCAGGUAGCGAGUGCAGUGGGCCUUCUGUGGACUCUGCCCCACCUGACCCUGUCCCUCUGUCUGCCGCCGACAUACAAGGGGACAGCGGGCUCCACGGGCUUGGGGCUGGCAUCGAGGCUCGGUUGGCCCAGGGUCACCCGCGCUGUCCUGAGGCCCCUCGUGCUCCUGAUGCCCGCGCUUUCCCGGCUCCUUUCACAGCCAGGGAAACUGAGGCCAUGAGCCCAGGCUCAGGACGGCAGAGGGGGAAGAGGCGAGAUCCGGGUUCUGGAUCCUGAUCCGGCUUUGUGUGGAUCGGGCUGGAAGCCACAGAAAUCCUCAAAUGAGCUCAAGGAAAUAAAAGCGAGGAGGAGACCUGGCCCUGGCAACUGCUGCAGUACAAGUCUGGCUGCAGGCUCGGCUGGAUCCAGGGCUCCAGUGAUGUUUUUUUCCAUCUCAGAUCUGGACCUUCUGCUCUGAAGGCAUCUCAGAUCGGGGCUGCUCUGGCCCCACUAAUGACCCAAUCUAGGGCCUGUGCCCCUCAGACUGCCCCUUAGGGGCCCCAUCAAUAGGACAAGAUGGAGGCUACAGUCUCUUCCAGUUCCUCUCACAUGAGAGGCUCUUCGGCUAUCCCUGAGGCAAGGCCUGGCAUGCACUCUGAUUGGACUGGCUGGGCCAUGUGGCCAGCCCUGCACCAAUCACUGGUCCAGAGUACAACCAGUGAAAGUGUAAGAGCCUUUCCCAUUGGCCAGGGAACAAACCCUGAUGCUCACAGUGAUUGGACUUGCUCAGGCCAUGUGACCAGCCCCGCACCAAUCACAGAACCAGAAUACAGUGGUUUCCAACCACACCCGGGGCUAGAGGCCGCUCCAUAGACCAAGGACAUCCGUGGGGGUCCCAGGGUCCCAGCCAGGGGUGGGCGGGCUCCUGAGUGAAACUCGGGUGGUCCUGGAAAGAGGGGGCGAGACCCUCCGUGUAUCUGGAGUCUGUGCCCCAAGGCCCCACGUGGGGACUGGGAACGAAGAGAGAGGAUGCUGUCGGGGGCUCAGCCUCCUCACACCUGCCCGGGCACCAGGCACGGCCUUCAGGCCUCCGGGACGGUCCUGGUGGGGCUCGGCCCCCCUCGUCCUGCGCCUCCUCUGGGCCCGCGGGUCCCCAGCUCCCCCAGCCCCGCCGCGGGCCGCACCUCUCUGGACGGCGCUGUCAGGAGUAGGAGUUCAGCCCCAGCGCAUCCGCGCCAGGACCCGGGCUCUGUGGCCACUGAGUGCAGAACACGCCGAGCUUCGGAGGUCUGGGAGUUCCAAGUGGAAUUUGAAUUUUUAAUCUAAUUGUCUGAUUCGUGAACUCGGAAGCUGACGUCACGCCCAGACGUCCCAAGGUAUGAGCUGUAGAUACGCACGUGAGCGCUGGUGGGAGACGCCAGGCUGGGAUUUCCGCUCGAUCUGGGAAUGAGCAAUGCAACCUAAUGACACCCAGAGCUCCUGAAUCACCCGAGGAAAAUGACGAGAGACUCCCUCCGGUGGGAACGUCUCCUAGAAACAAGGCCUAAGAUGGGGCGACAACAGCCCCACAGCUGUGUCCAGAUGCAGGGAGCACUCGCCUGUGCUGUGAGGGACGGCCGGUGUCAUCGUUGGAGCUUCCUAAGAGUCCCAGAGGCUGAUGCACCUCCCAGACUCUCCUCGGCCCGGCUCCCUGGGCCCUGCUCCAGGGGCUUCAUUGCUCCCUGCCCCGGGUCACCCCUCGGCUCACCGUCUCUCAGGUGUGGAAUAUCCUGCUCCAAUCAAAGCCAUGUCACCUGCGUUGUCCAGUGAAACAUCAGUGGACAGGCGCUGCCCGGGCUCCAGGGAGCUCCUCACUGAGGCUCACUCCCUGUGCCUCUGCCAUCAGCACAGGGGGACAUGCCUGGCUGCCUGUGGGACCAGGGAGGACGCGCGGUGCGGGAGCAGAGCCAGCCACACUGCCGCUGCUGCACUGUUCAUCUGAGUGGCGCAAGGGCAAGGAGAGGACCGUGCAUCCUCAGUGACAGUGGUGCCUCACCAUGCUUUAGAGAAGCCUGUCCUUGCCCCCGAGCUGCUCUCCAUGGAGUCCUGUUUGCGCACCGGAGGUCCCUGUGAAGGAGCGUCCAUCAGGUCUGGACGUGCACCUGACCUCGCUGACUGAGAACGUGGUGACUAAGGUGACUAAUGCUCCAUUACUUCUGCGUCUGAUACCCAGGUCCAUGCAGGCUUCUCUGGCCUCUGUCCUUGGAUCCUUAAAUUAAUCCAAGGAUGCAGCAGUUGGGGCCUCACUGGAGAACUCGUGUAUUUACCACACAGGAGACUGAGGCAGGGAGUGGGUUACGGAGGGGACGGGAGAGCUGAGAAGUCAGAUGGGGGCUGGGAGGCAACUCAGAGGCCAGGAGAGAAGGCGGCGGCUCCAUCCCUGGGCUGGAGCGGGGUGGGUGGUGCUGGCGGAGCCCAGGGCUGGGGUCUCUGGGGAAGCUGGACCCACAGCAGCCUCGGUGUGCAGGAACGACGUGCGCAGCAGGCCGGAGGCUGCCUGAUUCUGACGCGUGUUCAUGGAGGCCCGUGUGCAGCGAUGAGCCCCAGCCAGCAUCCGGGUGAUCCCCAGCCAGCAUCCGGGUGAUCCCCAGCCAGCAUCCGGGUAAUCCCCAGCCAGCAUCCGGGUGAUCCCCAGCCAGCAUCCGGGAACUUGGCUUUUGGAACGUUUCCUGAGUGACUGGUUGACCAGGUCGUUUGUGCACUCAGGGAACUAAGCCGUUCCCUACCAGCUGCCUGGACUCUGCAGUGUGAUCAGCGCACGCCUGACUUCUGUCACCACAGUGGCUGCACAGGCAGAGGGUGCCUAUGUGACCAGCCCCCUGUAGAAGCCCCGCACUCGGAGACCUACACGGCCUCCCUGGGAAGCGACACUCUGGAUGUGUUGCUGACUUGGUUGCUGGAGCAAGACGCGUGUUUGGUGGACUCCCCUGGGUCUUUCUCCCCUGCUGAUCUUGCUACGUGGCCUUUCUCUGUAAUAAGCCAUGGAGUCCACUCUCUAAUCACGCAGUGUGUGGUGGCCCCAGGACCCCUGAGACGUGGAGCUGGCAGGGAAGACAGGCAGCUGCCCGAGGCGCUUGAGGCAGAGAAGGAUGGGGAAUAGCCUGGCUCCUCCCCGCCCCCCAUCACCCACCAGGGCCUCUCACUGUCUGAGCUCAGCCUGAGGCUAGCUGACCAGGGGUGUGGGAAGCCCAACUCUACAAAUUCGCAGCAGAUCAGCCCCCAACCCCCACAAAUUCCCAGCAGAUCAGGAAGGGCGGGGCAUGGAUGAAAGGGCAUCAGGGCCACAGGCCCAGGACAGGCACGUGGGUUGCUCUUGGAGGCAUUUGCAGGUACACUAAGAAGCUCCAGGAAGGACACACACACACACAUAUACACACACAUACACAUACAUAUGCACACACAUACAUACACAGACACACACACACACGUACACAGACACACAGACACACAUACACACACACAUUCCCCUGCCCUCCCAUCUCCAGACCUUGCGGUCCCCAUGAGCUUCCCGAUUCCUGGCACUGCCGGGCUGUCCUGAAGGCUCUUUUGGCCAGAAAUGGGCAGGGAUCUGAGAGCACCUGCUGUCGGGUGAGUCCUACUGUACUCAUGUCAGAGAUUAGGACGAGAAGACACAGGAGUGAGCUGGGCUGGAGUCUCAGCUGCAGAUGACAAGGAGAGCACAGUGGAAAGCCUGGCCCACCUCCCCUCCCCACUGGGCCCCUGGGUGGGAUACCACCAUUUCCAGAAUGGGCUGUGGGUUGCGCGGGCUCCUGAGGUUCGCUGAACCGGGGCUCUGAGGGGUCCCCAAAGUGCUUCCUCCCUGUCCUGUGCCCCCACCCCAUGGGGUGGAAGAGCCGCCCACAGGCCUGGGUUCCGCCAUGCACAAGGGAACUGGACCUUGGUGACUAUUCAGGAGGGAGUCUCCGGGCUGCCCUUCCCAUGACCACAUGUCAAUCCCCUUUGGCCCCAAGGGAAUUUCUCAUAACCCUCCCUUGGAGGAGCCCCCUCGGUGCCAGCCCACCCUCAUCACUCUCUCCUGAACCCCCAUGAACAGACUCCGUGGCGCCUCCACCUGCCUUUGUCCCGCCAACCCUCCCUGUCCAGAGCAGCCAUGGGGCCUCUUACAGUUUUAAGUCUGUCUGCAUCACGCGUUUCCUCAGAGUCUCCUCAGGCUGGGUGAGUCCUCGUCCUAAUAGGCCCUGACUGCCUGGCGCUGCCUACCUCUCCUGCCUCAGCAGGAGCUGCCCACACCUGUCCUCAGCCAACCAAGCUCCUAACCGUCGGGGAUCCUGGGACUCGGGCCUGCCUUUGCUGGACACUUCCGUCAGAUUUCUACCUGGCCACGUUCCACUCUUUCUUAAGGAUUCUGCUUAAAAGUCACGUCCUCUAAGGCUCCUCGCUGGCCUUCCCCACCACAUUGAUGUCCAGAUGAAGAAACAAAAGUUCUGAGAGGUCUUCAGGAACUUGUAUAUAAUUACAGAGGUAAUAAGGAUUGGUUGGAAAUGAAACCAAGGGCUACCUCCUGUCCCCAAAGCUCAUGCUCUUAACCCCUUCACCAUGAGUUUCUGGUUCUAUUCCUAGACUCUAGGCAUCAUAUACUCCUGUUAAUACUUUCUGUCUUCAAGCAAGUCCAUUUACAUUUAUAUUAUAAAAGGUUAAAUUGUUCAUGAAUAUAGCUUCUAGAUUCAGACCACCUGGAUUCAAAUUUAGACUCCACAUAUACUGGCUGUGAGAUAUUGCCCAGUGUGCAUAAUCUUGCCAAGGCCUCAAUUUCUUCACUUAUAGUAUAGGGAAGACAGUAUGGCCUACCUAGUGACAAUGGAUGGUUGUGAGGAUUAAACGAGAUAAAUCAUGUAAAGCAUUUGCCUGACUCUUAUUAAGUGUUCAAUAAUACUCUCAUAGAGUGUAAACUCCUUUGAAAUUAGGCAUAAGACUUUAGGUAUAUAAAGAGCCUGAACAGAGAUGUACUUGAAUUCACGUCUUUAUAAAACACAAAAAUUAUUGCAACAAUCUUCAAAUAGUCUUCAAGCCUUCUCCACACAUUGUUGUAAUCUAUGUAAAGGAAAAUAAAAAAAUCUCAGCCAGGAGCGGUGGCUGAAGCCUGUAAUCCCAGCACUUUG